rnacentral:tRNA from 1 species
CGGGGUGUGGCGCAGUCGGCUAGCGUGCUUGUCUGGGGGACAAGAGGCCGUGGGUUCAAGUCCCACCACUCCGACCA